rnacentral:misc_RNA from 1 species
GAAAAACUUGACAGGACGCGUGGUUGAUGAAAAUAGAGUUACAUUUGAGCAGAUGAAGCAAAACAUAUCUAGUACGGUUGCUGGCCUCCUUACUUCCCUUUUGCCUACUGACCGGGUUGUACUCCUGUGUAAUAUAUUGAUAAGGAGGUACUUUGUUCUGACUGCAAGUGAUAUGGAGGAAUGGCACCAGAACCCAGAGUCUU